rnacentral:rRNA from 1 species
UGGGGAAUUUUGGACAAUGGGCGCAAGCCUGAUCCAGCCACGCCGCGUGUCUGAAGAAGGCCUUCGGGUUGUAAAGGACUUUUGUCAGGGAAGAAAAGGCUGUUGCUAAUACCGACAGCUGAUGACGGUACCUGAAGAAUAAGCACCGGCUAACUACGUGCCAGCAGCCGCGGUAAUACGUAGGGUGCGAGCGUUAAUCGGAAUUACUGGGCGUAAAGCGAGCGCAGACGGUUACUUAAGCAGGAUGUGAAAUCCCCGGGCUCAACCUGGGAACUGCGUUCUGAACUGGGUGACUAGAGUGUGUCAGAGGGAGGUAGAAUUCCACGUGUAGCAGUGAAAUGCGUAGAGAUGUGGAGGAAUACCGAUGGCGAAGGCAGCCUCCUGGGAUAACACUGACGCUCAUGCUCGAAAGCGUGGGUAGCAAACAGGAUUAGAUACCCUGGUAGUCCACGCCCUAAACGAUGUCAAUUAGCUGUUGGGCAACUUGAUUGCUUAGUAGCGUAGCUAACGCGUGAAAUUGACCGCCUGGGGAGUACGGUCGCAAGAUUA